rnacentral:misc_RNA from 1 species
UCCCUUUUAGGGGCAGUCUCGCUAGAGAAUUUAACUAGCGACAAGGGUUGCGCUCGUUGCGGGACUUAACCCAACACCUCACGGCACGAGCUGACGACAACCAUGCAGCACCUGUGUAGGCUCCCUUGCGGGUCCCUCAUCUUUCGACUCAGUACCACCUACAUGUCAAGCCCUGGUAAGGUUCUUCGCUUAGCAUCGAAUUAAACCACACGCUCCGCUGCUUGUGCGGGCCCCCGUCAAUUCCUUUGAGUUUUAACCUUGCGGUCGUAGUCCCCAGGCGGGAUGCUUAACGGGUUACCUACGGCUCACAGGGGGUCGAUACCCCGCAAACCUAGCAUCCAUCGUUUAGGGCGUGGACUAC